rnacentral:rRNA from 1 species
GAUGAACGCUGGCGGCGUGCCUAAUACAUGCAAGUCGAGCGAACGGACGAGAAGCUUGCUUCUCUGAUGUUAGCGGCGGACGGGUGAGUAACACGUGGAUAACCUACCUAUAAGACUGGGAUAACUUCGGGAAACCGGAGCUAAUACCGGAUAAUAUUUUGAACCGCAUGGUUCAAAAGUGAAAGACGGUCUUGCUGUCACUUAUAGAUGGAUCCGCGCUGCAUUAGCUAGUUGGUAAGGUAACGGCUUACCAAGGCAACGAUGCAUAGCCGACCUGAGAGGGUGAGCGGCCACACGGGAACUGAGACACGGUCCAGACUCCUACGGGAGGCAGCAGUAGGGAAUCUUGCGCAAUGGGCGAAAGCCUGACGGAGCAACGCCGCGUGAGUGAUGAAGGUCUUCGGAUCGUAAAACUCUGUUAUUAGGGAAGAACAUAUGUGUAAGUAACUGUGCACAUCUUGACGGUACCUAAUCAGAAAGCCACGGCUAACUACGUG